UACAUGAGGUCAGUGCUACAGCCACCUAGCAUGAACUAACCCAGCUUCCACCUCCAUAAAGUUACCUAGAGUUGUUGAGUUGGAAUAUGUUCUGGCAUUUACCCGACCUGCCAAUCAUUAGGGAGAGGCAACAAGGUAAUUCAGCCUUUCCUCCUAUCAGCACGAAGAAACUCAAAGCUGUUUUUUCCCUUUCUGUUCCAAAGCAGUCUUAUCCUGACAGGAGCGGUCUAUACUAGUGCAGAUUUCAACACUUUUUUUUUAAUGUUUUAAUUACUAUAGUGUUAUGUAGAGAUUUGAUUGAGCAGCUAAUGUUUCUGAACUUUACUUACUAAUUUUCAGUGUCCUUAAGGGUUCUGUAGUGUU
rnacentral:lncRNA from 1 species